rnacentral:rRNA from 1 species
GGCGUGUACUGCUUGGCUGGGCCUUACUUCUUGGUGAGCCGGCGUGCCCUUUAUUGGUGUGCGUCGGGGAACCAGGACUUUUACCUUGAGAAAAUUAGAGUGUUCAAAGCAGGCCUAUGCCUGAAUACAUUAGCAUGGAAUAAUAGAAUAGGACGUGCGGUUCUAUUUUGUUGGUUUCUAGAGUCGCCGUAAUGAUUAAUAGGGACAGUUGGGGGCAUUGGUAUUGAGUCGCUAGAGGUGAAAUUCUUGGAUUGACUCAAGACCGACUAUUGCGAAAGCAUUUGCCAAGGAUGUUUUCAUUAAUCAAGAACGAAGGUUAGGGGAUCGAAAACGAUCAGAUACCGUUGUAGUCUUAACAGUAAACUAUGCCGACUAGGGAUCGGAUGACCUCAAAAUUGAUGUGUCAUUCGGCACCUUACGAGAAAUCAAAGUCUUUGGGUUCUGGGGGGGAGUAUGGUCGCAAGGCUGAAACUUAAAGGAAUUGACGGAAGGGCACCCCCAGGUGUGGAGCCUGCGGCUUAAUUUGACUCAACACGGGGAAACUCACCAGGUCCAGACAUAACUAGGAUUGACAGAUUGAUAGCUCUUUCAUGAUUUUAUGGGUGGUGGUGCAUGGCCGUUCUUAGUUGGUGGAGUGAUUUGUCUGGUUAAUUCCGAUAACGAACGAGACCUUAACCUCCUAAAUAGCCAGGCCGGCUUCGGCUGGUCUCUGGCUUCUUAGAGGGACUGUCAG